ACUCCUACGGGAGGCAGCAGGUGGGGAAUAUUGCACAAUGGGCGCAAGCCUGAUGCAGCCAUGCCGCGUGUGUGAAGAAGGCCUUCGGGUUGUAAAGCACUUUCAGUUGUGAGGAAGGUGGUGUCGUUAAUAGCGGCAUCAUUUGACGUUAGCAACAAGAAGAAGCACCGGCUAACUCCGUGCCAGCAGCCGCGGUAAUACGGAGGGGUGCGAGCGUUAAUCGGAAUUACUGGGGCGUAAAGCGCAUGCAGGUGGUUUGUUAAGUCAGAUGUGAAAGCCCGGGGCUCAACCUCGGAACUGCAUUUGAAACUGGCAGACUAGAGUACUGUAGAGGGGGUAGAAUUCAGGUGUAGCGGUGAAAUGCGUAGAGAUCUGAAGGAAUACCGGUGGCGAAGGCGGCCCCCUGGACAGAUACUGACACUCAGAUGCGAAAGCGUGGGGAGCAAACAGGAUUAGAUACCCUGGUAGCACAGAG
rnacentral:rRNA from 1 species